rnacentral:rRNA from 1 species
UGAGAUGGCCCAGAUCGUUUACCGUGAAAAAAUUAGAGUGUUCAAAGCAGGCAGAUCCAAUUUUCUGCCACCGAAUACAUUAGCAUGGGAUAAUGGAAUAGGACCCUGUCCUCCUAUUUUCAGUUGGUUUUGGCAGCGCGAGGACUAGGGUAAUGAUUAAUAGGGAUAGUUGGGGGCAUUAAU